AUUGAACGCUGGCGGCAUGCCUUACACAUGCAAGUCGAACGGUAGAGUAGUAAUACUCGAGAGUGGCGAACGGGUGAGUAAUGCGUCGGAACGUACCGAGUAAUGGGGGAUAACGCAGCGGAAGCUGUGCUAAUACCGCAUACGCCCUGAGGGGGAAAGCAGGGGAUCGCAAGGCCUUGCGUUAUUCGAGCGGCCGACGUCUGAUUAGCUAGUUGGUGGGGUAAAGGCCUACCAAGGCGACGAUCAGUAGCGGGUCUGAGAGGAUGAUCCGCCACACUGGAACUGAGACACGGUCCAGACUCUACGGGAGGCAGCAGUGGGGAAUUUUGGACAAUGGGGGAAACCCUGAUCCAGCCAUUCCCBCGUGAGUGAAGAAGGCUUCGGGUUGUAAAGCUCUUUCAGCUGGAAAGAAACGGUGCGCUCUAACAUAGCGUUGCUAAUGACGGUACCAGCAGAAGAAGCACCGAGCUAACUACGUGC
rnacentral:rRNA from 1 species